CAGUCAGAGGGCCUGUGAUUAAUGUGCGGAGUGACUCUUUAAAAAAAAAACCCACAACCUUAAUAAAAAAGAAGCAAAAACUGGGGCGACGUGUCUACAGUUUAUAUUUAACAUCUUUGUCUUAAUCAUUCUCAACAUCCUGUUGGAAAUUGCAAAUUCUUUUUCAAUAUAUUCCAGAAUAGAAAUGUGAUUGUCAACCGCUGACUCACACUCUUUAAGGUGGACGGACUUCCUCGAGACACAGCAAUAACUACAGCGGUAGAAAGACAAUUGUUUGACUUACGGUCAAGUCUAAUCCAACCAUCUCUCCUCUAGAAAUGACUGUAUCUUCUCUAAGAUUAGCCGAGCUGGCAGAGGAGGAAGAGAGGCGGAAGAGAGCAGCCUUCCAUUUUCCUCAAGGGGGGAAGUGACUGGUCGUGGAGGAGGAAGUAGCAGAGGAGAGCAGGAAAAGGCGUCCCGUCGUCACAGGGUGCGGGGCGUGAACUCGACGGGGCGCGCGUAGCCACUGAUGAAGUUUGCCGGGAUUCCUGCCAGCAUUGAGUGAGCCUUGAUCGAGUUUGCCAGUCGUCAUCCUGGAUUUUUUUUGAAACCACAAGAGACCAUAUUUGGAUGAGAGGAAACCAGUGUGACAUCUGCUGUCAGUCACACCAUGUCCUUGUAUAUUAGGCUACGUCCAUACCAACCUGUUUUAUUUAACCCUUUAACACCUGAGCCUCUGAACUGGAAGAAUAUUAUCCUGUGAGUAAGUACUUUUGCCCAUUUUUACAGAAUAACUUUCUAAA